GUAUUGGUGGCUCAGUGGUAGAAUUCUCGCCUCCAACAUGGGAGACCCUGGUUCAAUUCCUGUCCAAUGCA
rnacentral:tRNA from 1 species